rnacentral:rRNA from 1 species
UACGUAGGGGGCUAGCGUUGUCCGGAAUCAUUGGGCGUAAAGCGCGUGUAGGCGGUUCGGUAAGUCCGCUGUGAAAGUCGGGGGCUCAACCCUCGGAAGCCGGUGGAUACUGUCGAGCUAGAGUACGGAAGAGGCGAGUGGAAUUCCUGGUGUAGCGGUGAAAAUGCGCAGAUAUCAGGAGGAACACCAAUUGCGAAGGCAGCUCGCUGGGACGUUACUGACGCUGAGACGCGAAAGCGUGGGGAGCAAACAGG